CGCUCUUGGGUUUGUUUUUGUCCAACUUGUGGAUCAGGACUUAUGCAUAGGUGCCAAAUAGGAAUCCUUUUUGAAAUUCAGAACUCAGUGGUCUUGAAACAUACAAAAAGGAAUAAA
ensembl:snoRNA